AUGAGAGGCCAGCUACCGGUUGAGCCGGCUGCCGGGCCGGAUGGAAAAAAAGAAUUCAGUCCGGGUGGAAAAGAGAUGUCGGCUGGCCACCCGACUGGUAAAAGAAAGAAAAAAAGUCAAAGGCCAGUUGGCCUUGCAAUUAAAAAAAAGAGUCUGACUGCUAGGUCGGUAAAAAGAGACAAAAUCAGAGCUUUGUCCGGCGGCCAGCAGCUGGCAGAAGAGAAGAAAGAAAAAAAAGGGCGCUGCCAGCCGCCUCGCCGCCUCACCAGUUGUACCAAGCCGGCUCGGCCAUGUCCCGCUCGCCGCCUGGCUGGUCAAGCCCGAUCGGCUGGACCCUCCUCGAGUGCUCGGAGGCUCGAGAGCUACACCCAGUGGGUGCACCAGCGCGCUCUGCGAGCGCCGAGCCGCACCGGCUGUCUUCGGUAA
rnacentral:rRNA from 1 species